rfam:Ciona savignyi cont_31841, whole genome shotgun sequence.
GCCCGGUUAGCUCAGCCGGUAGAGCAUUGACUUUUAAUCCAACGGUCAAGGAUUCAAGUCCCAUAUCGGGCU